GGUUCCAUAGUGUAGCGGUUAGCAUGUCUGCUUUAUACGCAGAAGGUCCUGGGUUCACAUCCCGGUGGAGCCA
rnacentral:tRNA from 1 species